CCCGCUUACCCAGCUCCUGAGAUUUUAUCGGGAAGCUACUGAUCAGCAGCUUCAGGUGUUUUCUGUCUACUGGGAGACUGCCUUUCCCCGGCGUUGGCUGGGACCAAUUAUCAUUUUAGAGACAGUUUAACAACUGCCUAACCAUCACCUGAUGGUCACCUGACAUUGUUGGGCUGGGAGUUCGCGGGGCUCUCCUGCUCUGCUCACCAUUGCCUAACUAUCUACUGUAACAAUACCACCUAGCAAAGCUGUGGCCGUGUCUUGCAGGAAGAAGAGUCCAGUAUGAUGUCUAAAGCAGAUCUGUUCUGAACCCACCACUUGUCCAAUUUCAUCAUCUUCUUGGAUGAGGAGUUCUGUGGCUUAGAGGAGAAAAAGAAACCUUUUUCUCUACUCUCAGAUGAGAAAACUGAAACAGAAAGGUCACCUCAGCUGUUGCAAAGUAAUAAAUGGCAAGACUGGAAUUCAGAGAAGGGCUGUGUAGCCCCAAGUUCCACUCGUAACCAUUACUGCACAGCCCUACCCUCAGAGGACUUGCAUUCCUGUUCUUGGAUGUGCAGAAUGCAUCACCUGUAACAUCUGCAUGCACCCCGAGACAUCUGCAUCACCCCCAAAGUUAAGUCUGUCCCAUCCCCACCUUGCCCCAGCCUGCUCCUCUGUCUUACAUUUCAGUCCUCUGAGAGUUGAAGAGCUGGCCCAAGCCCCAAUCUGAGCCACUCUGCUUGAUCCAAGCCAACUUCCCACCAAGAGCUCAGACUGCUGCUCCCCCAGAACGCAAGUCCUUCUUACCCAAUAUUAAGGCAGUACAGGGCAGUUAAGAAGAGCUUACAGUUAGACUCACUGCUCUGAGGCUCAGUUUCCUUAUUUAUAAAGUCAAUGUAAUAUUCUCUCCCUUUAAGGUUGAAUGAAAUAAUCUACAUAAAGUGCUCAGUAUGGGGCUUGUCUCCUGGGGGCUCCCAUCUGCCAUGAAUAUCUCAACAUUG
rnacentral:lncRNA from 1 species